GCCUACAGCCAUACCACCCUAAAUGCACCCAAUCUCGUCUGACCUCGGAAGCUGAGCAGCGUCAGGCCUGGUUAGUGCUUGGAUGGAAGAAAUCUCCACAGUGUUUUCCACACAGGUUGUACUUA
rnacentral:rRNA from 1 species